CAGUCGCCACGGUAAUACAGAGGGUGCGAGCGUUAAUCGGAUUUACUGGGCGUAAAGCGUGCGUAGGCGGCUUCUUAAGUCGGAUGUGAAAUCCCUGAGCUUAACUUAGGAAUUGCAUUCGAUACUGGGAAGCUAGAGUAUGGGAGAGGAUGGUAGAAUUCCAGGUGUAGCGGUGAAAUGCGUAGAGAUCUGGAGGAAUACCGAUGGCGAAGGCAGCCAUCUGGCCUAAUACUGACGCUGAGGUACGAAAGCAUGGGGUGCAAACAGGAUUAGAUACCCCAGUAGUCCCUGUCUCUUAUAC
rnacentral:rRNA from 1 species